GACAGAGGCCUCGAGCGUUAGGCGGAAUCACUGGGCUUAAAGCGUGUGUAGGCGGAUCGUUAAGUACCUUGUGAAAUCCCACGGCUCAACCGUGGAACGGCUGGGUAUACUGGCGGUCUUGGGCCAUUCAGGGGCGACUGGAACAAGCGGUGGAGCGGUGAAAUGCGUAGAUAUCGCUUGGAACGCCGAAGGUGAAAACAGGUCGCUGGGGAUGUGCCGGCGCUGAGACACGAAAGCCAGGGGAGCAAACGGG
rnacentral:rRNA from 1 species